CUGAUACAAAUGCAAGUUUGAGAGCCACCACUGCAGAGAACACUGCCAUUUUUGUAACCAUGGCAACUACUAUGGCAGUAGUUGGGCUCGGACAGAGCUCCCCAGAACACCUGUGCAGAGGGUAACUGAGAAUGAGAAAGCCCUGGAUUUCCCUGGUAAUUAUCUCCUUCAGCCUGCACUUUCCUCACCAAUCUAUUCCCUCUGGAACGAGGCUUUACUCAGAUGUGUUAAUCAUGGAUCCCCUCCCUGCCUGUCCCUAUUAGAUUUCUCAUGGGUAAGCUCAUGGCACCAGUGCCCACCUUUCAGCCCAGCAGUGGGGCAUUGCUCUGCAGGUGGUUCCUCCCCAGCCUCCCCAUCCCAAUCUGGCCAUGUCUGGCCUCUGUAUGCCAGGAGCUGGGACAAACUGCACCCUGCACUUCAUUGCUGGCUAGCUUCUCUCCAUGCAUCUCUCAUUUCCUCUGCCAGAUGGAGCUUGUAGGUAGGUGAUGUGGCUGGUCUCCCUUUCUGCACACUCUCUCCACUCUAAUCUGGUGCUACAAGAUGCUGUCAGAAUCUUUGUCCUGAAGUACAAUUUUGACAUGGGUCAUGUUCUCAAUCAAAAUGGUCCUCUCAAAAGGAACCCAUAGAAUCAAUCCAAAGUCUUUAGCCUAGAAUACAGGGCCUCCAAAAUUGAGUGCUACUAAACAGAUUUUUUUUAAAAAAAAUAAAUUUUAAAGAUAUAGGAAGCACAGAGAAUACUGUAACAUAUACUCAUAAUGACAUGUUAAAGCUGUCAGAUUUUUAAAUCUCUGUGUGUGUAUAUGAAGAAAUAUCACAGAUAAAGCCUCCUUUCCCCUCUUUCCCCUCACUCCUUAAACCACCUUUAGGGCAUUUUCUUCUACAAGUCACCAUCACACACCCUGCAGUGAGCCAACUGGACCACUGGGAACUCACCAUGGAGGUGCUUUCCUGUCUCUCUGCCCUUGCCUGACGGAGACCCCUGACUGGAAUGCCCUCCUCUCCCAUCAGCUGCCAGGCUGGGCUUAAUCCAACCCUCCAGCCCUUCAAGCCCCAGUGCAAAUGUCACACCCUCCAAAAAGUUCUGGGAUCCUGUCCCUUCAUGUCUGUCACACUCCCCCACUCUCAUCCUCAGCUAGGAUAACUUCCAAGUCUCUAUGUUUAGAGCACAGGGUUGAGGGCUCAGCUCAGGCAUCGACUCAGGGUGGCACCUUUGACAGGCUCAGUGUGUUCAUCUGCAAAUGAGGGUAGUGAUGUCUUCCUGACAGGCUUGUUGAGAGUAGGUGUGACAGCAGUGAGGCCAGGGAUUUUAUAUAUAAUCACAGGUAAGAGAUUAUUUAUGUUUCUUUAAUGCCUCCUGCCUUUCCUGUUCAUCCACCCGAGGGCAGAAUGAUCCCUGUUUGAUUCUUCUUUGGUGGCCCACAGGUCUUGAUGCUCUGCACACAGUGAGAGCCAAGGAGGGAGUGGGGUUAUAAAUACUGAGGCUGUUUCUGCCCCAUGUCAGCAUAAGAUGGAGAAAUUGAACUCUCCUUGGCAUCAGCCAUGUAACAAGUGCCAACUUGUACCAGGCACAGUACUAGCUGGUGGUUUCAGUGGAGAGACCAAGGCUAGUUGGAGACACAGGGCAUGUGUGUGACAAAACAGGCACGUUGUUCAUUCAUUGUCUGAGGAGCAGCCAGAGGGGAGGCUGACGGUGCUUGGGGCGGGGGGUGCACUCUCCGGAAGCCUCUAAGAAAUGCUCCAAGAAGGUGGCAUCAAACAUCUCUCAAACCUGGCUUGGAAACAACCUUUUCAAUGACAUCCUGACACAUGGCCUUGGUGGGAAAACUGACCAAAUAUGGGCAAAAUAGGUCCAUGAUCCCAGACCAAAAAAGUUCUGAAAACUGGAGACUUACCAUAACUUUUUAGCAGAAACCUGGACCAACCUGAUAGGAGGUUAUUUAUGGCAUUUAUCAAACUGAGUGUGAAAAUUCAUGCCUUUUGCUGAAGAAGUGUGUGUGUGUGUGUGUGUGUGUGUGUGUGUGUUUGAGAGAGAGAGAGAGAGAUUGAUUGAUUGAUUUCAGGAUACUAUCCCACAACCUGCAGAGUUAAUUUGUAGCAUACAGUGGAUGCACUGUAACACCGGUCUAAAACCUGAGAAAUUUCAAAUUCCUAAACAACUCUGACUGGCCCCCAGAGUUUUAGCCAAGAAUUGUGGACCUCUACAGACCUCAUCAGGGAGGUAUCCUCCCCACCAUCUACCCUGCUCCCUAUAGGCUCCUAGGCAAAUGGUUUCCUUCCACCUGGGACAGGCCAGCCUGGUAUCUUUGAAAUGCACACAGGCUCCAGCUCUGCCCAUGGCUGAAGCCCAGAGCAAUGAAAUCCUCAUUGCAGAAGUGUGUUUCUCUUAGUGUUAGAAAAACAGCAUAGACUAACAGGAAAGAGGCCUCAGCAUUGCCUGCAGGGCCCUCUGGGCUGCAUUAGAUGGCUGCACUACCUUCUGGGUUAAUUCACCAGGCUGCUCACCCCACUCAAUACUUGCAUACUUUGAGCUUUGACUUCUCUUCUGUCUCCCCAUAUCAUGGCAUAUGAGGACAACAUCCCAUUUUCUUGGAGUUCCACCAGGUGCUAAGGUCCUAACUUAACAGCGCUCAGGUAUUAAUGUAUGGUGUAAGCUCUGGGUUUUAUACCUGGAUGCCAUUAACACUUCAGCAACGGGACUUGGAGCUUUAACCCAGAGGUUUGACUAAUAGAGGGUUUUCAAACAAUGUGUUAGACAAUUUGAGAAAAUAUUUUGGGGCAGAGGAGUUGUUCUGAUUAUUUACUCCUGCUUAAUAAACCACCCCAAACAACAGCUAUUUUAUUCUGCUCAGGAAUUUGGGAAGUGUUUGGCUGUGUGGUUCUUCCCCAAUCCAUGUAAACUUAGUUAGGUGGCUAUACUCUGUUGGUCAAAACAGUCACUGGGCCUGCCCAGAUUCAAGGGGGCACUAAAAUAGACCCCAUCUUCUGAUGAAGAACAGCAGGAUUCCAUCAUAGAAACACAUGGGAUGGGAGCUACCUGACCUCUUUUGGAAAAAUAAAGUUGGCACGAGAGGCUUCCAGGCAGAUCAUUUGCCCAUGUGGAGGUAUCUGUAAUCUCAGUCCAAAGAACUAUGAUGUAGGAAACUUGUGGUGCAGAGAAGCUAAAACAAGAUGUUCAAAAAAACUAUGUAUAGGCAAAGAAAAAGGAAGCUGGCAUUAGGAGGACCAUGUGCCUACCUCUCAGCUACAUCCUACCCACCCUCAUCACCCACACUUCUUGUAAGCCCCCUCCUUAGGGUGCUGAAGACUCUUCCAACACAUGCAGAAAAUGUUUUCUUCUACUGCAAAAUAUAAAGUUAUCAUUUAGUAUUAAGGCCAGCAAAAGGUGUUGUCCAGGGUUCCUAGAAAAUUAGUUGUGGGAACAGGAAGGCAGCGUGAGCCUCAUGGCCCUGGAGAAUUGAGGAAGGGAAGAGGCACUCCUGGAG